rnacentral:pre_miRNA from 1 species
GUGUGUGGAUGGUGUUCAGCACACUGGACAGGUGUGUUGACCUGUGUGUGGAUGGUGUUCAGCACCAAAGGC